GUCUACAGCCAUACCACCUUGAAUAAGCCAGAUGUCUGAUCUCAGAAGCUAAGUAGGGUUGGGCCUGGUUAGUACUUGGCUGGGAGACCACCUAGGAAGGCCAGGUGCUGUAGGCA
rnacentral:rRNA from 1 species